rnacentral:tRNA from 1 species
GGGGCCAUAGCAUAAUUGGUCAAUGCUCUUAAUUCAUGCUUAAGUAAAUUAAGGUUCGAAUCCUUAUGGCCUUA